rnacentral:rRNA from 1 species
AGAUUGAACGCUGGCGGCAUGCCUUACACAUGCAAGUCGAACGGCAGCACGGGGGCAACCCUGGUGGCGAGUGGCGAACGGGUGAGUAAUGCAUCGGAACGUGCCCAGUAGUGGGGGAUAACUAGUCGAAAGAUUAGCUAAUACCGCAUACGACCUAUGGGUGAAAGCGGGGGAUUCGCAAGAACCUCGCGCUAUCGGAGCGGCCGAUGUCUGAUUAGCUAGGUUGGGACGGGGGUAAAACGCCCACCAAGGCUUCGAUCAGUAGCUGGUCUGAGAGGACGACCAGCCACACUGGGACCUGAGACACGGCCCAGACCUCCGUACGGGAGGCAGCAGGUGGGGUAAUUUUGGACGAAUGGGCGCAAGCCGUGACUCCAGCCAUCGCCGCGUAGGCGGGAAGAAGGCCGUUUGGUACGUAACCGUCGUUUUCGGCGUAAGGAACGAAACGGCGGACCG